rnacentral:rRNA from 1 species
AGAUUGAACGCUGGCGGCGUGCCUAACACAUGCAAGUCGAGCGGUAACAGGCGUAGCAAUACGUGCUGACGAGCGGCGAACGGGUGAGCAGUGCUUCGGAAUCUGCCCAAUGAUGGGGAAUAACCAGUCGAAAGAUUGGCUAAUACCGCAUACGCCCUACGGGGGAAAGCGGGGGUCGCAGACCUCGCGUCGAUGGAUGAGCCGAAGUCGGAUUAGCGUAGGUUGGUAGGGUAACGGCCGUACAGGCGACGAUCCGUAGCUGGUCUAGAGAGGCGACCAGCCACACGUGGGACUGAGACACGGCC